GCAGUCGAGCGGCAGCGCGGGACUCGGGCACCGAGUCCUGGCGGCGAGCGGCGAACGGGUGAGUAAUGCAUCGGAACGUGUCCCGUAAUGGGGGAUAACGCCGCGAAAGCGGCGCUAAUACCGCAUACGCUCUGAGGAGGAAAGUGGGGGACCUGCAAGGGCCUCACGUUAGGGGAGCGGCCGAUGUCCGAUUAGCUAGUUGGUGGGGUAAUGGCUUACCAAGGCUUCGAUCGGUAGCUGGUCUGAGAGGAUGAUCAGCCACACUGGGACUGAGACACGGCCCAGACUCCUACGGGAGGCAGCAGUGGGGAAUUUUGGACAAUGGGGGCAACCCUGAUCCAGCCAUGCCGCGUGCGGGAAGAAGGCCUUCGGGUUGUAAACCGCUUUUAGCCGGGAAGAAAAGGCCAUCCCUAACAGGGGUGGUUUUUGGCGGUACCGGCGGAAUAAGCACCGGCUAACUACGUGCCAGCAGCCGCGGUAAUACGUAGGGUGCGAGCGUUAAUCGGAAUUACUGGGCGUAAAGCGUGCGCAGGCGGUUCGUUGUGUCGGUGGUGAAAGCCCCGGGCUUAACCU
rnacentral:rRNA from 1 species